UAUAUAUGGGGGGGUGUGUGUCUUCGGRCACACUUUCGAUUGGGCCAUGGUGCCCCCCUGCCAGGCAAAGGGAUGCCUGGGCAUGGCCACCCGGGAAAAUGCGCUUCACUUCUUGCAUGCCAGUCGUUUUUAAAAACGGCUGCGGCUCGUGUAUCGUAUUUUCCCCGGGAUCGGUGACGCUUAGAUGACGACGGCCCUUGACGGAUAUAGAUGAAGGAAUUGACGGAUAUGCAGAUCGGUUGCCUAUUGACCCUUGUCGGUACUAUUUUGGUUGCGCACGCUGAGGCCAGUAACUAGUCUGGGAAGGCUUGGUGAUGUAGGCUACAUCCCGGUCAUGGUGGGUUCGAUUGUGGUUGUUACUUUCGCAUCGUUCGGUGCAUUUUGGGGGCUGUUUUGGCUUUUCGUUGCUUGCUUGACCUUUUUUGGUUGGGUGGGUGGCUUCUAGUUGGGCGGCUUUCGGGAAUGUCGACCGGGGAGGUGCAUGAGUGGUGAUUGGUAUGUUACGUGUGGAUGGCUGUUUGCUCGCGCACCAACGUUCACGCUUCAUACCUCUUCAGUUUUGCGUCAAGACUGAUUUGUCUUGAGCAUGUCGUGGGUUUCCUGUGUUGCAUACCUAAUUGACGGUAACGUGUGGGCUUUACGGUUAUCUAUUUCGUCAUGUGUCGUUCAUGCGGCGUGGGAUGAACAAUGAAACGGCCUUUGUGAUCCACAGUGGUGUUGCGUUUGCAACAACGAUGUGGCCUAUGAAGCAUCGUUUGGUCUCUUGUAUACGGAACCUGAUGUGGGCAUGGGUCUUCAUAAGAUCUUCAUUAUGCCCUCGUUAAGCGUUCUCGCUUCUCCAAAACGAUUGCCUGCCAUGUUACGGCUUUGUUCGUUCAUGGUGGGCUACGUCGAAGAGGAAUGCUACCUGGUUGAUCCUGCCAGUAGUCAUAUGCUUGUCUCAAAGAUUAAGCC
rnacentral:misc_RNA from 1 species